UACAGGGGGUGCAAGCGUUGCUCGGAAUUACUGGGCGUAAAGCGUCCGCAGGUGGGCGUGUGGGUCGGGUGUGAAAGCCCAGGGCUCAACCCUGGAACUGCACUCGAAACUGCACGUCUUGAGUACGGGAGAGGAGGGCGGAAUUCCUGGUGUAGAGGUGAAAUUCGUAGAUAUCAGGAGGAACACCGGUGGCGAAAGCGGCCCUCUGGUCCGAUACUGACACUCAUGGACGAGAGCGCGGGGAGCAAACAGG
rnacentral:rRNA from 1 species